rnacentral:rRNA from 1 species
GGGGUGACCGCGUGCUUUUUGCAUAAUGAGCUCGGGAGUUAGCCUCUGUGGCGAGCCUAAGGCCUAACGGGCCGGAGGCGGAGCGAAAGCGAGUCUGAAUAGGGCGCGCAGUCGCAGGGGCUAGACGCGAAACCCGUGUGAUCUACCCAUGGCCAGGGUGAAGGAGGGGUAAGACCCUCUGGAGGCCCGAACCCAUAUUCGUUGAAAAGAAUUGGGAUGAGCUGUGGGGAGGAGUUAAAGUCUAAUCAAACCGGGAAAUAGCUCGUUCUCUCCGAAAUAACUUUAGGGUUAGCCUCGAGUGGCAAGCAUUGGGGGUAGAGCUACUGGAUGGGUGGCGGGCCCUCACGGGUACCCCGCCCAACCAAACUCCGAAUACCAAUGCCCAAGGCUCGGGAGAUAGACGGCGAGUGACAAUAUCCGUCGUCAAAAGGAGAACAAUCCAGACCGCCGGCUAAGGUCCCAAAUCGAUGCUCAGUUAGGAAGGAAGUCAGAUUGCCGUGACAGCCAGGAUGUUGGCUUAGAAGCAGCCAUCAUUUAAAGAGUGCGUAACAGCUCACUGGUCGAGGAAUCCGGCGCCGAUAAUGAUCGGGAAUAAGACGCAAACCGAAGCUGCGGAAUUCGAAAGAAUUGGUAGAGGAGCGUUCUUGUCAGCGUCGAAGCAGAACGGGCAACGUUCUGUGGAGCGGCAAGAAGUGAUUAUGCCGGCUUGAGUAACGAUAAAACAGGUGAAAAUCCUGUUCGCCGAAAGAGUAAGGUUUCCUGGGCAAGGUAAAUCCGCCCAGGGUUAGUCGGAACCUAAGGCGAGGCCGAAAGGCGUAGUCGAUGGAC